AACGAACGCUGGCGGCAGGCCUAACACAUGCAAGUCGAGCGCUCACUUCGGUGGGAGCGGCGGACGGGUGAGUAACGCGUGGGAAGAUACCCAAAGGUACGGAACAACCACUGGAAACGGUGGCUAAUACCGUAUGUGCCCUAAGGGGGAAAGAUUUAUUGCCUUUGGAUUUGCCCGCGUAUGAUUAGAUAGUUGGUGGGGUAAUGGCCUACCAAGUCGACGAUCAUUAGCUGGUCUGAGAGGAUGAUCAGCCACACUGGGACUGAGACACGGCCCAGACUCCUACGGGAGGCAGCAGUAGGGAAUAUUGGACAAUGGGGAAACCCUGAUCCAGCCAUGCCGCGUGAGUGAAGAAGGCCCUAGGGUUGUAAAGCUCUUUCAUUGGUGAAGAUAAUGACGGUAGCCAAAUAAGAAGCCCCGGCUAACUCCGUGCCAGCAGCCGCGGUAAU
rnacentral:rRNA from 1 species